UUAAACUACCAAACCAAGAGUCAGGAUUAAUUAAACUACCAAACCAAGAGUCAGGUUUAAACUACCAAACCAACAGUCAAGUUUAAUUAAACUACCAAACCAACAGUCAGGAUUAAUUAAACUACCAAACCAACAGUCAGGUUUAAUUAAACUACCAAACCAACAGUCAGUUUUAAUUACACUACCAAGCCAACAGUCAGGUUUAAACUACCAAACCAACAGUCAAGUUUAAACUACCAAACCAACAGUCAGGUUUAAUUAAACUACCAAACCAAAAGUCAGUUUUAAUUACACUACCAAGCCAACAGUCAGGUUUAAACUACCAAACCAACAGUCAAGUUUAAACUACCAAACCAACAGUCAGGUUUAAUUAAACAACAAAACCAACAGUCGGGUUUAAAAUACUCAAAUUAAAAUUCAGGCCGAGACCCCAAAGUUUCCAAUGACACCAGAGACUUUCUUCCUGUUGAAAUUAGUUUAAAGAACAGAACUUUGAGAUCGCUCCGUUCUACGCGGCGCUGCUGCAUCUCGACUUGAAUAAUUCAUUCGGAGGAGACGACAUUGGCACACGGAGCCAACAGUGCAAAUAAAAAGUUGAGCUCACACGUGGUUAACUGGUUGAUCCGCUCAGUGCACUCGCCGGUUAGCUCGGGGGUAGCGGACGCUCGCUAGCAUAGCAUCAGGGUUCAAAAUGACAGUCACCAUCCCUCCUUUCAAACAUUCCAUCCAUCCAAUAAAAUCAAUCCAUCAAUCCACUAAAUUCAAUUCGUUGUUCUAAAAAAUCCAUCGUAAAUCCAGCCAUUAAUAAGAAUUUGGUUUCUUUUUGUUUCA
ensembl:lncRNA